rnacentral:rRNA from 1 species
CCUACGGGGGGCAGCAGUGAGGAAUAUUGGUCAAUGGACGAGAGUCUGAACCAGCCAAGUAGCGUGAAGGAUGACUGCCCUAUGGGUUGUAAACUUCUUUUAUAAAGGAAUAAAACGAGGCACGUGUGCCUUUUUGCAUGUACUUUAUGAAUAAGGAUCGGCUAACUCCGUGCCAGCAGCCGCGGUAAUACGGAGGAUCCGAGCGUUAUCCGGAUUUACUGGGCGUAAAGCGCUCGUAGGCGGUAUGUCAAGUCAAGGGUGAAAUCCCCGCGCUCAACGUGGGAACUGCCUGUGAAACUGGCAGACUGGAGGGUGUGAGAGGAUAGUGGAAUUCCAGGGGUAGGAGUGAACUCCGGAGAUAUCGGGAGGGAAAUCAGUGGCGAGGGCGACUAUCUGGCACAUAACUGUCGCUGAGGAGUGAUAGCUUGGGUAGCAAACAGGACUAGAUACGCUUGUAGUC